CUCGUAAGAGACCAAGUGACAGGUGCUGCAUGGCUGUCGUCAGCUCGUGUCGUGAGAUGUUGGGUUAAGUCCCGUAACGAGCGCAACCCCAAUCCUUAGUUACCAUCAGGUAAUGCUGGGGACUCUAAGGAGACUGCCGGUGAUAAGCUGGAGGAAGGUUAGGACGACGUCAAGUCAUCAUGGCCCUUACGAGUAGGGCUACACACGUGCUACAAUGGGUGCUACAAUUGGAAGCGAAAUCGCGAGAUGGAGCCAAUCUAACAAAAGCACUCUUAGCCCGGAUUGGAGUCUGCAACUCGACUCCAUGAAGCUGGAAUCGCUAGUAAUCGUAGAUCAGAACGCUACGGUGAAUACGUUCUCGGGCCUU
rnacentral:rRNA from 1 species